rnacentral:rRNA from 1 species
UACAGAGGUCUCAAGCGUUGUUCGGAUUCAUUGGGCGUAAAGGGUGUGUAGGUGGCGCGCUAAGUCGGGUGUGAAAUUUCGGAGCUUAACUCCGAAACUGCAUUCGAUACUGGCGUGCUUGAGGACUGGAGAGGAGACUGGAAUUCAUGGUGUAGCAGUGAAAUGCGUAGAGGUCAUGAGGAAGACCAGUGGCGAAGGCGGGUCUCUGGACAGUUCCUGACGCUGAGGCACGAAGGCCAGGGGAGCAAACGGG